AAGUCUGACGGAGCAACGCCGCGUGAGCGAUGAAGGCUUUCGGGUCGUAAAGUUCUGUUGUCAGGGAAGAACAAGUGCCGGAGUAACUGCCGGUACCUUGACGGUACCUGACCCGAAAGCCACGGCUAACUACGUGCCAGCAGCCGCGGUAAUACGUAGGUGGCAAGCGUUGUCCGGAAUUAUUGGGCGUAAAGCGCGCGCAGGCGGUUCCUUAAUUCUGAUGUGAAAGCCCCCGGCUCAACCGGGGAGGGUCAUUGGAAACUGGGGAACUUGAGUGCAGAAGAGGAGAGCGGAAUUCCACGUGUAGCGGUGAAAUGCGUAAAGAUGUGGAGGAACACCAGUGGCGAAGGCGGCUCUCUGGUCUGUAACUGACGCUGAGGCGCGAAAGCGUGGGGAGCGAACAGGAUUAGAUACCCUGGUAGUCCACGCCGUAAACGAUGAGUGCUAAGUGUUAUAGGGUUUCCUCCCUUUAGUGCUGCAGCAAACGCAUUAAGCACUCCCCCUGGGGAGUACGGCCGCAGGGCUGAAACUCAAAUGAAUUGACGGGG
rnacentral:rRNA from 2 species